rnacentral:misc_RNA from 1 species
GGAUACUCCGACACGAUACGGUCGGGCAGUUCAUCAACGGCGUCGGACUCUUUUACAAAGGCUCUGCUCAUGACUGCUAAUUCCACCGCGGACGUUGCGUUCCCUAAUCCGCAGAUUUCAACCUUCGCAUCGUAAAUUCGAUCUCGUCGCCGGGGAGCUCACGCCAGGUUUCAACCUCCGACAUGUAUGCCUGUUUGGGGUAUUCAUCGAGGAAUGCCCUUGCCGUCUGGCGGGCUUUUUCUCGAGGCUGGGUGAACGUCUCCCG